AUGUAUUUUUACCGCGAUUUUCCAAAGCUCUUUGUGGUCGGUGAUGGCGUUGAUCAUCUCAAAACAUCUCACCAUCUAGAUAGUCUUGGAAAACAGUGGAUGUCGAUUAAGAAAGACAAUUUUGUGCUCAAGAUUUCAAGAGGCAAUGAAUUGUUGGGAGAGAGAAAACGAAACAAUGAGAAAGUAGAAGGAGAAGAUUGGUAUAGAAGACUUGUAGAAGCAGGAAGACAUGUUGGAUGA